UUUGAUUUUUCUUUUACAUUCAAUGAAUGAAAGUUAAGAUGAUGAGUAAAUUAACCCUGUUUUACAUAAUGAUGGACCGGUCCAUUAUAUAGUAAACUGUUGUGAAUUUUGAAUUCUAAGAUAUCUGGGUCAGCAAAAAGAGUGCAAAUUACAGAGGAUCAUGGUACUUGAUAUUUUAACAAUUUUGGAGUAAAGUUUUGUUUAAGAUCUCAAAGUGUUAAAGUAAUUGGUAUGAUAACAUGGGACAAGGAGAUGUAUAACAUAAUCAGGCUGCUCAGGGACUUAAGUGCUGACUGUGAGAUGCCAGGUGUUUAAUAAUGAUGUGCAGUAUUAAUCCUGAAAAGGUGAGCACAACCACAAGAAGUUCUAGGAAACACAGGCAGUGGACUUAAAACAGACAUGGAUUAAAGAAAUAGUAAUUUAAAUAAUCAGAAACAUUUGAAACCAAUUUAUGAUUGAAACACUUCCAGCAAAAUAAUUGCAAAAAAAACAACAAAGUGUUGGAUUCUAAGAUUCCAAAACCUGCAGCUAGAAAAAAGCUGUUUGUGUUAUAGUGAAUGUAGGGUAUUCUAUUCUGUAUUUGGA